rnacentral:lncRNA from 1 species
UGCACGGCUGGCCUGCUCCGGGCGCUGCUGAUGCUGCUGGUUCCUGGACCACCCUUGAGACCCUGGAUGACCUCUGAGGUGCUGCCUCCUUGCAAAAACCCUCAGCUCUUGGGACCUCUCCCUGCGCUUCCGAAGCCCUUUCAGAUAUUUUCCUGUAGCCCUCACAAAGAGCUUGGGGUUGCGGUUUCUGCCGCUGUUGACUCUCACGUGGAGUUUCGGAAAUGGGAGAGAAAUCUCCCAGCAGCCCAGCAGUUGAAGAGGAGCUGCCUCAAAUACCAGCCCAACGGGAGGCCUGUCUCUGGCUUUUAUGUUCAAGCUGGG